rnacentral:rRNA from 1 species
UACACUCCUGCGGGAGGCAGCAGUGGGGAAUAUUGGACAAUGGGCGCAAGCCUGAUCCAGCCAUGCCGCGUGAGUGAUGAAGGCCCUAGGGUUGUAAAGCUCUUUCACCGGUGAAGAUAAUGACGGUAACCGGAGAAGAAGCCCCGGCUAACUUCGUGCCAGCAGCCGCGGUAAUACGAAGGGGGCUAGCGUUGUUCGGAUUUACUGGGCGUAAAGCGCACGUAGGCGGACUAUUAAGUCAGGGGUGAAAUCCCGGGGCUCAACCCCGGAACUGCCUUUGAUACUGGUAGUCUUGAGUUCGAGAGAGGUGAGUGGAAUUCCGAGUGUAGAGGUGAAAUUCGUAGAUAUUCGGAGGAACACCAGUGGCGAAGGCGGCUCACUGGCUCGAUACUGACGCUGAGGUGCGAAAGCGUGGGGAGCAAACAGGAUUAGAUACCCGGGUAGUCCCAUGAU